UACGGGGGGGGCAAGCGUUGUUCGGAAUUACUGGGCGUAAAGGGCUCGUAGGUGGCCAACUAAGUCGGACGUGAAAUCCCUCGGCUUAACCGGGGAACUGCGUCCGAUACUGGUUGGCUUGAGUUUGGGAGAGGGAUGCGGAAUUCCAGGUGUAGCGGUGAAAUGCGUAGAUAUCUGGAGGAACACCGGUGGCGAAGGCGACUACCUGGCCUGUUCUUGACGCUGAGGCGCGAAAGCUAGGGGAGCAAACGGG
rnacentral:rRNA from 1 species